rnacentral:rRNA from 1 species
AAUGAACGUUGGCGGCGUGGAUUAGGCAUGCGAGUCGAGCGAGAACCGUAGCAAUACGGGGACAGCGGCGAAAGGGACAGUAACGGGUAGAUUAUCUGCCCUCAGGUUUGGGAUAGCUGCGGGAAACUGCAAGUAAUACCAAAUAAUAUCUCCGGAUCAAAGGUGUGAUUCCGCCUGAGGAUGAGUCUGCCUCCUAUUAGCUAGUUGGUGGGGUAACGGCCUACCAAGGCGUUGAUGGGUAGCGGGUGUGAGAGCACGACCCGCGUCAUUGGGACUGAGACACUGCCCAGACACCUACGGGUGGCUGCAGUCGAGAAUCUUCGGCAAUGGACGCAAGUCUGACCGAGCGACGCCGCGUGUGGGAUGAAGGCCUUCGGGCUGUAAACCACUGUCAGAGGGGAUGAAAUGCAGGUGGGUUCUCCCAUCUGUUUGACAUAGCCUCAGAGGAAGUACGGGCUAAGUUCGUGCCAGCCGCCGCAGUAA